rnacentral:lncRNA from 1 species
GGGAGCGGGUGGUCUGAGCUUGCCGUGGAGGAUGGCUGGAUCCAGGGGCUCGGGCUCCCCUCUUGCUGUGCUUUGCGCUGUGCUGGCCUCAGCCCCAAGGAGGUUGUCUGUAGUGCAGAGCGUGAGAGGUUGAGGAGAGGGCAGCAGCAUCCAUCAACAGAAAACACGGCCGCUCCUUCCCGGCCAGUCUAACCUAGAAUUGCACUUCACUGGCCUGCCUUGAGUCACAUGUCCUUCCCUGAGCCUGUCACAUGGCCGUUGGAUUUACAGUACAUUGAUGGAUAGAAUCUGGGAUGCUUGCCUGGGUAGGAGGGAACUCCCUGGACUGAGAAGCAGUGGUUCCCAAAGAACAAUUGAGGUUCCCACUUUAGACAAAAAUCAACUCAAAAUGGCCUGUAAAAACCUGAAGUGAGCCAGACGUCAUGGCUCAUGCCUGUAAUCCCAGCACUUUGGUUGGCCAAGGCGGGCCACCGUGACUUCAGGAGUUCAAGACCGGCCUGGCCAAUGUAGUGAAACCCCAUCUGUACAGAAAUACAAAAAAAUUAGCCAGGCAUGGUGGUGCACGCUGUAGUCCCAACUACUCAAGAAGCUGAGGGGGGAAGAUCGCUAGAGCCCAGGGGGCAGAGGCUGCAGUGAACUGAGAUUGUGCCACUGCACUCCAGCCUGGGCGACAGAGUGAGAUCCUAUCUUAAAGGAAAAAAAAAAAAAAAAAAAACCUGCAAUGGUAACACUACUUGAAGGAAACAUAUGGGGAAAGUUCUAGACAUUGGUCUGGGCAAUGAUUUCUUGGAUAGGACCCCAAAAGCAAAGGCAUCAAAAGCAAAAACAGAC